rnacentral:rRNA from 1 species
UACGGAGGGUGCAAGCGUUAUCCGGAUUCACUGGGUUUAAAGGGUGCGUAGGCGGUUUGGUAAGUCUUAUGUGAAAUCUACAGGCUCAACUUGUAGUCUGCAUGAGAAACUGCCGGGCUUGAGUAUGGGAGAGGUGAGUGGAAUUCCUGGUGUAGCGGUGAAAUGCGUAGAUAUCAGGAGGAACACCUGUGGCGAAAGCGGCUCACUGGACCAUAACUGACGCUGAUGCACGAAAGCUAGGGGAGCAAACAGG